CCUACGGGUGGCUGCAGUGGGGAAUAUUGGGCAAUGGGCGCAAGCCUGACCCAGCAACGCCGCGUGAAGGAAGAAGGCUUUCGGGUUGUAAACUUCUUUUAUCAGGGACGAAAAAAAUGACGGUACCUGAUGAAUAAGCCACGGCUAACUACGUGCCAGCAGCCGCGGUAAUACGUAGGUGGCAAGCGUUAUCCGGAUUUACUGGGUGUAAAGGGCGUGUAGGCGGGACAGCAAGUCAGGUGUGAAAUUCUAGGGCUCAACCCUGGAACUGCACUUGAAACUGUUGUUCUUGAGUGAUGGAGAGGCAGGCGGAAUUCCGAGUGUAGCGGUGAAAUGCGUAGAUAUUCGGAGGAACACCAGUGGCGAAGGCGGCCUGCUGGACAUUAACUGACGCUGAGGCGCGAAAGCGUGGGGAGCAAACAGGAUUAGAUACCCCAGUAGUC
rnacentral:rRNA from 1 species